rnacentral:misc_RNA from 1 species
GAUGAAGAACGUAGCGAAAUGCGAUACGUAAUGUGAAUUGCAGAAUUCAGUGAAUCAUCGAGUCUUUGAACGCACAUUGCGCCCCCUGGUAUUCCGGGGGGCAUGCCUGUCCGAGCGUCAUUGCUGCCCUCAAGCACGGCUUGUGUGUUGGGCCUCCGUCCUCCUCCCGGGGGACGGGCCCGAAAGGCAGCGGCGGCACCGCGUCCGGUCCUCGAGCGUAUGGGGCUUCGUCACCCGCUCUUGUAGGCCCGGCCGGCGCUUGCCGACACAUCAAUCUUUUUUCCAGGAUGACCUCGGAUCAGGUAGGGAUACCCGCUGAACUUAAGCAUAUCAAUAAGCGGAGGA